UGUAAGGAAGCUUGUGGAUUUUCAGGAAGCCAUCAUUGGAAUGAGUGUUGGAUGUGGGCUUUGGGUUAGGGGGCACAGAGGUAUACGUAACUUUAGGAGCAGCGGGUAGGGGUAGGGUACGGUACGGUAAUUAGCCUCAGACAGUAACAGAGCUAUAGUGAAGGCUGCUUCACACUUGUUUGGGCCAAAUCCUAACUCAAGAUCUACACACUUAAAUCACAUGUUUGCGUAAGGUCCUCAAUGACAUCAACGUCUUGCAGAGUUACGUUUUUUUUAUUUCAAAUGAGAAUUAAGCCAUUUCAGAGCAAAUAUCAGCACACAGACACACUACCACCGCUUUCAGCGGUGCUGGGAAUAUAAAUUAUUAACAAUUUUCUAUGCUCAAUGACAAAAUGUAUCCCUGCACUAACAUCCACUUCUGCACGUUUAUUUGAAUGUGUAAGUCCGAUAGACCGACAUAUUCACAAUAGUGCAGUGGUCAACGUGUGCACAGGACUCAUUUUAUAACCGCUUUUAUCAUACAUCUCUUUCCCCAGGGUUGAACAGCAAGGUCUACAUCUAAACAGGAAGGAAGUCUCAAACAGACCCAAAAAAUAACAGCAGUAGAAUCAGAUUAUCAGGAUAAGUAAAACCCCUUAAAGAUCUCAGAUCUCUGUUAGUGACAUCAUCGUUUUUAAAAUGUAUUUAUUUGUUUGCUUGUCUUUUUUAAUACAUGAGGUCUCAGUCUCUCUCAGUGCCAGUGCAGAUGUGACUUCACAUCAAGAGUCCCUUGAGCUUUGCAAUGACAACUUGACAACAACAGAUUGAGUGGUUAGAAGUGGACAGAGUUGUUUCUCUAUGACACACACACACUUUACUGGUUCAGGUCUCAUUAUUUAUGCUACAUGCAUACCUAACAUACACCUGUUAGUUAACAUGUUAACAAACAAACAGCUGUCCCCUGUCCACCUGUGAAGAUACCCGUUCUGUCUUCUCUGAGGACAAGAAUGCAGCAAAGUGGGUUUAUUUAUCCGGAACCUUCCAUCCAUUACACUGCGGGGAAACGUCCGUAGACCAGCCUGUCAGAUACAGUCACACCUGAGUCCAAGGAAACGUCCGUAGACCAGCCUGUCAGAUACAGUCACACCUGAGUCCAGGGAAACGUCCGUAGACCAGCCUAUCAGAAACAGUCACACCUGAGUCCAGGGAAACGUCCGUAGACCAGCCUGUCAGAUACAGUCACACCUGAGUCCAGGGAAACGUCCGUAGACCAGCCUGUCAGAUACAGUCACACCUGUGUCCAGGGAAACGUCCGUAGACCAGCCUGUCAGAUACAGUCACACCUGUGUCCAGGGGUAGCAGCUCAUUGUGGUGUAGGGAAGCUUGAUGUGCAGCAGAGGCUAAGGUGAACUCAGAAAGGAAAGAGAGCUCAGAGUUUUACAGUACCAUCCUGUCCUCCAAUCAGAGAGGAGAGGGAUAAGGAGUCCCCUUAUUCCCCGUCUUCAAACCUGGAUCCUCAACCCUCCUCUUGUGUAUAGGUCACAAAUCCCCUCCAACACAGAUCAAGGUGUGACAGAACCCUCCCUCACCACCACCCCCCACCCACUCUCAGCACUAGUCCCUCACUUGGUCCUCACUCACUCGCUCUCUCUCCCUCUCUUUCACCUCAGGAGAGAGAAGAAUAAAUACAAAAUAGAUCAAUAUUUAAAAAACACAUUUGAUCUGGCACACAGGACAGACUGCGAUGCUCCUCUCCUGGUGUUCUUGUUCUCGUCAGAUGUGAAAAGCCUUGGUGCGAAGAGUUCUGACUGAUCCAGUAAAUGAUUACACGGUUCUUAUCUGGAGGAUGUCUGUCUGCAGGGCACUGGUGUGCUCCACAUAAUACCCUCCCCACUUGUUCCUACGUAAAAUACCCUCACCAGUUGUAUUGGCAUCGGUGUGACCGUCUGAAGUCCAGCAUUUUAUCAGAUGAAACGUUCAGCUAUAUUAUCAUCGUGUAGUGUACUGCAUAUACAUUGUACUUUGACAUUUUGUUUUUUUAUAUAUAUAUAACGACAUUCACAUA
rnacentral:lncRNA from 1 species